rnacentral:lncRNA from 1 species
GAGAGAGAGGAGCUGAGCUUUGGCCCCGAGGAGCUGUGUGCAUGGAUCUGGCACAGCUUUGCUCCUUUCACUCCUGGACCUUUGUUUUGGUGGCGAGCGGGGAGAGCAGGGAGCGCUGUGCUCGCGUUUCCCUCCGGCUUACGCACACACACACACACACACACACACACAUACACACACACACACACACACACACACACACACACAAAUCCCCUUUCCAACUUUCUGCCUUUUGCGCUUCCCUCCCAGUUUUUCACUUCUCAGACCUACUGGCAGCAUUUGCCGAGAUCUAGAUCCCCGCCGUGGAUUGGAGAGUGACCAUAACCAGUAUGCGCCCAUCAAAAUGGACAGGGAACAGCAUUAACAGGAUUCUCUACCAUAUAGCUUGGACAAUUCUUCCAAUAGCGGGCUCCAGGGAACCAUCUUUGGGCUUCAUCUCACUUACUCAGCUUCUACUCAAGACUACUGUGCAUCCUAAGCUUUCCCACAGGAUCUACAUUCUUCGUCUGCAAAACAUGUGCUUUUGCUUCUGCACCGAAAUCAAUUACAGAUCUGGGGCCCCUGAGAGGUGGAGAAGUGUCAAAGCACUGGAAUCUCCAUCUGGGAUGGUGCUGCAUCUUCAAGCGCAGGAAUUUCCUAAGAGAUCCUAUUAGCCAGGCUGCAUCCAGACUGAAAAGCUCUCAGCGACAAUGAGGAUGUCAGCAUCACCUGUUCCUGGGCAUGAAGGAAGGAAUUGGCCAGGAGUGCUUCUUCCUGGUGCCCCCUAGGU